CUGUUGGGUCUGAGGGGGUGGUGCCGUCGGAAAGGUCUUGCUUGGUCUCCUCUCUAGCGGGCGGAGAGUUCCAAUGGUCCAGAUUGCCUGGGCAUCCCUGACCCCUCCGGACCACUUCCCUAGAGGGCAUCCUGUGCCCGACUGCUGGGCUGGCAUUUGCAGAGUACAGAUCUAGGCUGUCUGGAUUAUACUACACAUGAAGAGCCUACUGUUUGCAAAAAUUGACUUUUCUUUCCCGCGGCCACGCUGCAAAGGAUGGAGCUCCAGCAGCGAAGCAGCAGUCACUGGUCUAGCUGAAGAGGAAGGAGCCAGGCUCCUGCUUCGUAACCGAGGCAUCUAGCAUCCAGCCAAAGAACUUUUUUGCCUCUGACUAAGGAGCCACUGGUUAUCGGAGCCGGCUCAAUUGAAUACCCAUUCGGAUGAAAGAGUGAAGUAUAAAAUAACAAGUCUUCUGAAGAGCGAUAUUGCUACAGGCUUGGACCAGGGAGUGACCUGCAGGUGGAACUCUGAAUAUGCUGCCUCUUCUAGAAGGCCUGCUCAGCGUGUCACCUCUUUAUGUCUUCUAAGGAGAGAAUCCAUUGGUAGAGGAGGGAGGGCUAUGUGAGCCGGGAUCUUCAAACACCAGCAUCACAUCCAGAGAGGCCAGAGGGUCCCAAGACAAAACAAGCCGGGGCCAAGACGCACUCAGAGCUCCUAUCUCACCCUCUUAGGGGUGUGCUCGGGGCACCAGAUGGGUUAUUAAAUGUUAUUCUCUUUCUCCCUUUUUGGUUAAGCAGAGGACUGCAGAGGAAAGCCUCUGAAUCAAAUGUUUGCUCCACACAGUUCAACUGAAAUGUAGGUUGUGAUGAGUGGACACGUGCUCCACAGCUAAGAGACCAACCGAGGGCAUCCUAUCCCACUCGUGGGUCUAAGGGGAGACUUACAGAAGGCAUACUUACUCUGAAGAUGGAAUGAUAGCUGAAGAGACAGAGUGAUGCCUAGGGCCUGUCAGACACCCAGUUUAGCCUAAUACAGAAAAGCACGGAGGUGAGAAACAACAGGGUGAAUCCAAGGAAAUUCAACAGGAGCAUGUGAGAGGCAGGAGCCAGGGAGAGUUAGACAUGGCCCGAAACAAGUUCUCCCCUCCACCCUGAGGAAUUCUGGUGCUUCAGCACUGGCUCCUGAAGAAUUGGGGAAACUUCCCAGAAGGUUGUCAGCCUCUCUCCGGCAGGAGCUUUACAGAGGUCUGUGGACACUUCAGAGCACCCACACGGGCCAGAGAAGUAACUGGUCACGAGGCUUCCCCCAGGGGGACUUCCUCACUCAAGCGACACAUUAAACUCUGAGUCAAUGAAUGCCAGAGGUUAGGGGUAAAGAUGACAGCACUUCACCUCAAGCUACCUCCUAGUUUUCAUAAAGUUUGGAAUUGAAGCUGACGAGAUGUAGACUCACCGUAAAGAGCUGGAAGCAGCAAGCAUAUCUGUGGCCCAUGAAAAGGGAGAGGGGGACCAGGAGGGCAUGGGCUGGAGAAGGACGAGGUUGUGUCCAGAGGAAUGGAGCAAUUAAACUUUAAACUAUUCUUUUCAUAA
rnacentral:lncRNA from 1 species